GGAUAUGUUAAGGUUGCUGCAGCUUGGCCAUUCUUGGUUUGGCUAGAGAGUUAAGUUCAUCUCCCACCAGCCCAGUUGUAGAAAGAAUGCCAUCCAGAUACAUGUGUCGUGAUAAAUCACUGACAUUGUGACUUGCAUUCCCUGGGGAUGAGUGAUGUUAAGCAUCUUUUCUUAGGUCUAUUGGCUAUCUCUGUGUCUUCCUUGGAAAAGUGUUCAGGCUUCAAGCCUAGCGUAGAGCCAGUGGGACUUGAACUCACGACCCUGAGAUCAA